GGAAAACUUAUCAGUCUUUCUUGGCUACCAUAGUAAUAAAUCCAAACAUGAGCUUCUUGAGCAUUCCGUUGGUCUUCUUAUCAGCACCGAGUACAGCAUCUGAGGAAAAAAUAUGCAGGCUAAAACUCAGAAGACUACAGCCACCUAGAAGAACUUACCUGAAAGAAAAAUCACUAAAAGAGAACUGGUCUUGUUUUUAACAAAACCAGGACAGGGAUCAGCUGUUUGGGACCGGGUGCUGCUUGCUGGGACUGGCUACUCAAUGUGGAUGGAGUUCAUGAAGGAUUGCCUUGAGAAUUGUGGAGGGGUUUUGAUAGAUAAAGAUUUGUUGCUGAAUUAGUCAGGCUCAAAGGAAUCUCAAAGCCUCUUAGAGAAGCUGAGAUCAGAGUCUGCUGUGAGAAAGAGAGGCGUUCCUAAAUCACCGGGGUCCUGGCGUGGCGUGAAUCAUCAGACGUAUCAUCACUGAGACUCCAGCACAAAGGGAUUUUCAGGAUUGAAGAAGAAAGAUCAGCACAUUUUUGUGUGACUUCACUGUCCUCAGCAUGUGGAGCAACCAGCAGUGGGUUCCCAUGCAAAGGUGGGGCGCCUUCCCCAGUUGGCUCACUGACCAGCUGUGUCAGGAAUUUGUACACUCCAGGAGUCUCCUAGACUGUUUCCUCUCUGCUGUGUAUUUCCAUCAGACAUCUGGUAAGUUGAAGUCCCCAGUGAGAACAAGGGCUAGUGAUCACGAGACUUCCCCCAGCUGCCUGCAGAAUAUUUCGUCUGCCUCUUAAUCCUGGUUCAGUGGUCUGUAAGAGACUCCCACCAGGAUAUCUGCCUUGUUGGUCUUCCCCCUGAUCCUUACCCAUAAACACUCAACCCUAUUGUCAUCAUCAUUAAGCUCUAGACAAUCAAAACACUCCCUAACAUACACGGCUACCCCACCUCCUCU